rnacentral:rRNA from 1 species
GACGAACGCUGGCGGCGUGCCUAAUACAUGCAAGUAGAACGCUGAAGGAGGAGCUGGCUCUGCUGGAUGAGUUGCGAACGGGUGAGUAACGCGUAGGUAACCUGGCUGGUAGCGGGGGAUAACUGUUGGAAACGAUAGCUAAUACCGCAGAAGAGUAGAUGUUGCAUGACAUUUACUUAAAAGGUGCAAUUGCAUCACUACCAGAUGGACUUGCGUUGUAGUAGCGAGUUGGUGGGGUAACGGCGUACCAAGGCGACGAUACAUAGACGACCUGGGAUGGUGGUCCGGCAACAUGGGAACGGGGACACGCCCCGACUCCCUACGGGAGGCGCAGUAGGGAAUCUUUGGACAUGGACGGAAGUCUGACCCCGCCCAGCCGGGUGGGUGAAGAAGGUUUUCCGGUUGUAAAGCCCUGUUGUAAGAGAAGAACGAGUGUGAGAGUGGAACCUUCCCACUGUGACGUUAUCUUAACAGAAAGAGCCGGCUAACUACGUG